CUGUACUUGUACAGGUACUCGAGUGGCGAACGGGUGAGUAACACGUGGGUGAUCUGCCCUGCACUAUGGGAUAAGCUUGGGAAACUGGGUCUAAUACCAUAUAGGACCACUUCUUGGAUGUUGUGGUGGAAAGCUUUUGCGGUGUGGGAUGAGCCUGCGGCCUAUCAGCUUGUUGGUGGGGUAAUGGCCUACCAAGGCGGCGACGGGUAUCCGGCCUGAGAGGGUGUACGGACACAUUGGGACUGAGAUACGGCCCAGACUCCUACGGGAGGCAGCAGUGGGGAAUAUUGCACAAUGGGCGCAAGCCUGAUGCAGCGACGCCGCGUGGGGGAUGACGGCCUUCGGGUUGUAAACUCCUUUCGCUAUCGACGAAGCCACCUUUGGUGGUGACGGUAGGUAGAUAAGAAGCACCGGCUAACUACGUGCCAGCAGCCGCGGUAAUACGUAGGGUGCAAGCGUUGUCCGGAAUUACUGGGCGUAAAGAGCUCGUAGGUGGUUUGUCGCGUCGUCUGUGAAAUCCCGGGGCUUAACUUCGGGCGUGCAGGCGAUACGGGCAUAACUUGAGUGCUGUAGGGGAGACUGGAAUUC
rnacentral:rRNA from 1 species